AGAACUUCAAGUUGAGGCCUGGAGGAGUGGCAGGUUUGGGGUAGAGUGUGGGUUGGAGGUGGGGGUGGGGCUUCAGAGAGGGGCCAAGAGGAAGAGGAGGGGGGAACAUUUGGUAAAAACUGGGCAGAGGAUGGGCAGAGUGUGACACACAGUCAUGGGAGGCCUGCAGGAGAUAGCGGGAACAAAGUCCAGGUGAGGAAGAGCUUGAGCAGAGAGAGACGCCAAAGAAUGAGGUGACUUCAGUUUGCUGUUUGCAAGGUGUGGGCUGGAAACAGUGCUUGGGCGAGUCUUGGCCCUCCUUACUGGAAAGUGGGAUCUUUCUGGAGGAUAGGCUGAUGAGCCCAAGUUUCCAAUAAGGUGAAUGUGCUUCUGAAGACCCAUGAGAUGGAGAGUCUGACUUCUCUGAUUUGGUGGCCAUUGCAGAUUGAAGCAGACUGCUGAUAGGCGUGGUACCUGCGAACCCUUUUUUGAGUUCACUGUCUUUCUCACCAUUUCUGAAGGCCAUGGGAAUUCGUGGAAGGGAAUCUGACAAGCUCUCUCAAAUACAGAUUUCUGAAAAUGUUCCAAUCAUACAACUGAACUGCUUUAAAUGGUGUUCCCAGCUGCUGACCACCCAGCAUGUGAUCUCCUGAAGACUGGACUGUCAGAAAAACAAUGAAGAGGACAAUGAGCUUAAAAAUUAUGAACUUUGGGACACCUGUUGACUCGGUGGAGUAUGCAACUUUUUUUUUUUUUUUUUUAAAAGCAUGAGAUUCUUGGGGCGCCUGGGUGGCUCAGUGGGUUAAAGCCUCUGCCUUCAGCUCAGGUCAUGAUCCCAGGGUCUUGGGAUCGAGCCCCACAUCGGGCUCUCUGCUCCGUGGGGAGCCUUCUUCAUCCUCUCUCUUUGCCUGCCUCUCUGCCUACUUGAUCUCUGUCUGUCAAAUAAAUAAACAAAAUCUUUCAAAAAAAAAAGAAAAAAAAGCAUGAGAUUCUUGAUGUCUGGGUUCUGAGUUCAAGCCCCAUGUUGGGUGUAGAGAUUACUUAAAAACAACUGUGAAGAGAGCCUGGGUGGCUCAGUGGGCUAAAGCCUCUGCCUUUGGCUCAGGUCAUGAUCUCAGGGUCCUGGGAUGGAGUCCCGCAUUGGGCUCUCUGCUCAGCAGGGAACCUGCUUCCUCCUCUCUCUCUCUGCCUGCCUCUCUGCCUACUUGAUCUCUGUCUGUCAAAUAAAUAAACAAAAUCUUUCAAAAAAAAAAGAAAAAAAAGCAUGAGAUUCUUGAUGUCUGGGUUCUGAGUUCAAGCCCCAUGUUGGGUGUAGAGAUUACUUAAAAACAACUGUGAAGAGAGCCUGGGUGGCUCAGUGGGCUAAAGCCUCUGCCUUUGGCUCAGGUCAUGAUCUCAGGGUCCUGGGAUGGAGUCCCGCAUUGGGCUCUCUGCUCAGCAGGGAACCUGCUUCCUCCUCUCUCUCUCUGCCUGCCUCUCUGCCUACUUGUGAUCUCUCUCUGUCAAAUAAAUAAAUAAAAUCUUUAAAAAAACAAACAAACAAACAACAAUUGUGAACCUGAAGUUGUAACCUAUGACUAACCGUAGUCAUAGAAUGCCUUACAUUUUGAUCACCUGUCUCAGUUAAGCUUAGAAUCUAAUCAAAAGGAGAUGUUGCUAAAAAGAAAAUCACAGGCCCUGCAUGGAGUCACUUAUGUUAAGUCCCCACAUCAGCAAACCAAGACUUAAUACCUAAACUCUUUGUCAUUUCAAUCCCCCCAGGAGUGACGUCUAACCAGCCAACCUGGAAGUCCCCUGGAAGUCCCGGGGGAGCACUAGGAAAUUUACAGAUAGGCGCCUCCUGUGCCCCUUAGAAGGGAGACCUUACCUAAAACAAUACCCUCUUUGCUGGUAUAAUCCCCUCCUCUUCCCCUCCUCUCUGCCUUAACAAACCUUUCUUCUCUACAGCUGCACAGAGCUUUUUUCUGUUUGCUAGGUGGGAUGCUGUUGGAUUCAUGAACUGUUCAUAAAGCCAAUUUGAUUUUUAAAAUUACUCAGUGAAAUUUUUAUUAACUUCGCCAGUCCACAGUUGAGGAAAAGGAAACUGUCAGAGAAAUAAAAUAAGUUGCCGAAAAUCACCCAGCCCAAAGUUGGCAGCAUCUCGUGCUAGGGCAAGGAACAAGAGGUGGGGUCAGCAUCUUGCCAGGCUUCCCAGAACCCGCUGGGACUCUCCAGAACCUCUCCAAACCUCAAAGGACCUGCUAGUUUCCAGGCCACCCCAAAUGAUCCCUGCCCUGCCCCCUUUCUUGGCUCCUUAGAGAGCAACUCUGGGGAGAAAGGGUGGCAGAAGGUGGGGCGCAGAAACCCAACUUUAAGAGGCUCCUUAAGAGAGCAUGACCUCUCAGACAAUAUUUGUAGGGAGCAGAGGAAGGAAGACGGGGGUGGCCUGUGGAGAUGAUUUUUGGGAAGUGGUGGGAGCAGCAGGGGAGGGAGAGGGUGGCUGACUCGGUUUCAUCUUUGAGGCCACAAAGGAGGCAGUGGGCAGGGCUGGUGCAGAGAAAUCAGUCACUGGAUGGCUGGGGCCAAGGGUUGGGGGUGGGUGUUGGAAUCCCAGCCCCCAGCUAAGCAUAAGAGGGGUGGAUGUCCAUGCAAAUGGUAAGAAGCUUCAGUGCAGGGCUGCAGGAGGGAUUUGAAGCCAGCCCCGCACCCUCCCCCUGUCCAGGACAAAAGUGCACACAGACACAGGAAGGAUCUAGAUGCAUUUAAGGUCAACAGGUCCCCAAGCUAAGGGAUCUGGGGGCAGUCUCUGUCCAAGAGACUAAAAAGCUUGCAAACACAGGACCGGGUGCCCAGGCCAGAGAUACCAGAGGGGAAACCAUGGAAAGAUCUGGAAGGAUAGGUGGGUGAUGUGUAGUUGAGGGGGUGUUGUAGGUGGUCUGGGCUUCUCACUGCAGGGAGUGGCUGGAGGCUGGGGAAGGGGGGAUCUGGGGUAGAGACUCCAAGGUCCUUGAUCCUUCCUGCGAGGGCAGUAGUUUGGCAGGCAGCAAGUCUCUAAGCAUAAAAAUUAUUUGAAACAGAACACCUUUCAGGCAGGAUCGAACUCACUUGUUGCCAUAGUUCUCGAAGCUAUAGGCCUCACACCCAGGAGUGUUGGUUCAUUUCUACCAUCAGCUAGCUGGUGUGGGUGUUGGAUUUUUGACCUUUGAGAUGCCCACACUAACAUCUUUGCAGGCCCCAAGAGAAGAGAAGAGGUUAGGGCCCUGUAGGUCCCUAACUUUGCCCAGUGCUAUCUCCCCUGAUGCUGCCCCUUGGUACCUUGCUCCAUAGAGUCAGCUGGGAGGGCCUGCUGUGCUUUUAGCAACCCUGGGACCGCACAUAAAGCCGUCAACAGCGCCCUCUAGUUUUGUGACAGUCCUGCCUUCUUCCCUGGAAGUAGGGUGACACCCUGAGAGCUCCUGGGGCCCCUCUUUGGGGCUAUGUAAGUGUUUUCCACCCCUGCCAGGAAUUCUCUUGGCAUAGAUACACGAAGACAUGGAAGCCAGUGGCAUGGACUGUUUAUUAUAAUAACGCCUUCCACGUGAAGCAGAGAAGAGGGGAGCUGUGCCAGGAGGGGUAGUGAGCGGGUAGGUGUGAGCAGGAAAGUGUGGAGAGCCUCCACAGCCACUAGAGAAGUGACAAUCUCGGUAAAAUAUACUGGGGGGAGGGGGAGAUGGGGGAAUCCAGCCACCAGAAGCAGGCUGGGGAGGAAAGGAAACACAAUGGGCUGGGAAGGUGGAUGCUGGAGGGCUUGGAGCUGGAGAAAAGCUCGGCAUCCGGGGCCACUAGCUGGAGCCCAUUCCAUCAGCAGAGACCGCAGAGCCCAGAGCAACAAGGAGGCCCCUGCUCUGGGGCCAGAAGCCCCACAGUGGUGGGGUGCUGGGGGUGGUGGGAGCCAGGCUCCUUGAGGAUCCUCUAUCCCCACAUGGUGGUCUGCAGCCACUGUGGGGAGAAAAACAGAUCCAAGGAUGGGAGGGGGCAUGGGCAGGAUGGCUGGGGGAGCCGUGAGUGGGGGUGGGUGCCAGAAGAUCCCUUCCACGUACCUGGUUCAGAUUCAAGCGAAUAUAGCCAGUAUUCUCGGGGUCCAUGGAUAGAAAGUAUGCUGUUUAGGAAAGGAGGCAAGGGGAGGGGUUUGGGAGCUGAGUCUGUGGUUGGUAAGACCCAUUUCCCAAGAGGAAGGAUGAAAGGGAGGAAGAAGUUGUUCCUUGCUGCUUCCCAGGAAACCCUUUGCCAGGAAAGGGAUUAAGGAGAACAUCUCAUGGCCUUGCCAUGAGCCAUAUGCAAACCCUUAUAUUCAGGACCUCCACCCUAGGAGGGCAAUACUAUUGUUGCCCACAUUUUAUAGAUGAGAACAGAGGACAGAAGCACAGAGACAUAAAUGAUUUGCUCAAGGCACAGAGCCACCAAGAGGCAGAGCUGGGAUUUGAACCCGUAUCACCCAUGCUCUUAAGAUGGCGUGGUCUGGGAGCCCUGCUACUCGUGUGGGUGUGUAGGAGGCGGCCCCUGGUCCUUAGCCCAGGGUGGGGAGCAGGCAGAGGACUGACUCACUGAACAUGGCCUUCAGCCUCAGGAAACAGCUGAUGAAGCUGUCAAAAUCCACGAUCAUGUCGUCGUUUGCGUACCUGGCCACCAGCACCUGCGUCACCUUGUUAUUCAGCUUGAUGCCUGGGAGGGAGGGGAGUGCGGAGGGGGAGUCCAGCCCUCUGGACACUGCUUCCUCCCUCCUUGCCCCCAAACCCUCUCCUGACCCCCUGCUAACCUGCCCUCUCGAGUGCCAAGCGCAUCUCAUAGGAGUUCAAGGUGCCCGAGUUGUCCUCGUCACACUCUCGGAAGAUGUCCUGAAGGGACGGACAGGUGAGGUCGGUCGGGCCGUGUGCAUGGAGGGGCGGUGGAAGUAAUGAAUUGCUUUAGAACAGGUAACCUACAAGGAUUGCCCAAGACCCAAGGCUGCAUGCCUGGGCCCACUCCCUGAGUGCCCACUCUCGUGACUGUAGGGGACGUCUGGCAAGGAGAGGGGCUUGGAAACCAAGUCAGUGUUCUGAAAGACCCAUUCCCAACUGGGCCCUGUGCAUGUACCUUUGAGCUAGCUGAUUCCUGGGUUAUACUGGUUGUUAAAUAUUCUGACUGGCCAGGACACCAACACUUCAACAGACCUUGUCCUGUUGCCCCACAUCAGCUCCUUGCUCGAUGGGGAGCCUCUCCCUCUGCCUGCCUGCCUGCCACUCCCCCUGCUUGUGCUCUCUCCCUCACUGUUCAAAUAAAUAAAUAAAAUCUUAAAAAAGAAAAAAGAUCCUGUCCUGUCCUGUGUAUGCGUGUGUCUAGUUGGGGGCUCCUGUUCUAGCAUCAUCCUUACUAAUCCCAUCGCUCUUGAGGACCUCCCUUCCUGCCCACCAUAAACUGCCCUUGUAAUUUUUUUUUUUUUUUUUACCGUCCAUUUCUUGAUUUUUUUCCACAGGAUCUGGAAUUCGGGAAGCCCCAGCUUGCCAGAGCCAUCUUUCUGAGAGGUGGUCAAGGAUGCCAGCGGAGGGAGAAAAGAGGGAAACUUGGGGCUGGGGAAGCAGAGGGGCUCUCUGAGUGGGGGGCCGUGAGGCCAGGGGUUCCUGUGCAAGCACUAGCCAGAAUGGGCUUCUUUUGCUACCUCAGAGCCGAAUCCCCAGCAGGAAGGAGGGCAUGGAUGGCCAGAGAGGGGCCACCUCUGGGGGGUCAAGCUUGGGGGGGGUCAGGGGGUCAGCGGUGGGAGACCCCUGGAUAAGAAGAUACAUCCAUGAGGUUGACCAUACAGCGGCACACGUCUAGGCCGAAGCCCUGGGUCCUGAAGUUUUUGACUGUGAGGGAGGAAAGGGGCAGGAAGACAGAAGGAGUGAGCGGGGCAUUGCAGGGGGAUGCAGGGAGGGAGGGUCGAGGUGAGGAGGAAGCUGCAGGGAAAAGUUGUGAGUGGGGUCUGGCGGUUGGAAGACUCACGUUUGGUGACCACCUUGUUGAGGAGCUUCUGUAGCUCAUACAUGCCUAUCUCCUUGUCCUAGGGAGGGGGACAGUAAACCUCUACUCUGACACCUUCACCCUGGCCACCUCCUUUGGGCACCCAGCGCUCAGCCUCUCACCUCUCCUCCUGCCACUAUCUCAAACAAACGUAUGAAGUCCGGAUCUAUGUCCUUCUCAGAGAAUUUCUCCUGCAGGGAAAGGAGUGGGAAAGGAACCCGUUCCAGAAAGUUCCUUCACACUCCCCAGGUGCUUCCUCUCCUCCCUCCACCCCACAGCAUCCCCUCACCUCCUGGAGUACCUCAGCAUAGUUGGUUUCAUCCAGUUCCCUGAGCAAAAGUGAAGGAAGCCUUGGAAAUUAUCCGGGAUCAGGGAGACAGGGAUUUUAGUGGGGGUGGUCAUGAGGAGAGGUCAUGUCAUGUAUCUGAAGCAAUGUGGAACAGGCUGCAUGGGAUCCAGGUCCUGAUUCUGGUUUGCUCCCAGCUGGGACUCCCCCAUCGUUGUGCCUCAGUUUCCCUGACUUAAAAUGGGGGUGGAGUUGGGGAGGACCUGAUGGUUGCUCGCUAAGGGUGACAUCCUGGAGCUCUUGGGCAGGUGGUCUUGGAGGACCAAGGUAGGGCUCCUCACCAGGACUCGCUGUGCUUCUCUGUGAAGACCCGAAGCAGGAAGUCAGCAUCCUUGUGGGGCUCAAAGGUGGAGGGAAUGAUGACAUAUUCCCCUGGAGGCAGCCGGAGAUGGCUGGUCACCUCCCGUGAGUUAGUGAAGAUCUCUGAGAAGCCGUGGUCCUGAUACUUGAUGAAGAAGUCCUUCUUCAAGCGAAAAUCCUGGAUGUUCUGAAACUAUAUGAGCCUUGGAGGUGGGUACAGGGCUGGCAUGGGAGGGUAAGGAGAGGCGGACCCCAAAAGUGAAGCUACACUGGGCACAGUUUGUGGGAGGCGUCACCACAAACUGACCAGUCCUGGACACCACCCAACUGGCAAGCAAUCCCAGGAAGAUCUCCUGCCCCAACUCCCACCUGGGGCCCCAGGGCACUGGAAUCCUAACCCAGAGGCCUCCAGCGGCCCUGAGAACCCUUUGCUGAAAUCCACCCUUUGCCAGAGGUGGGGCAGCGCCUGCCCAGAAUCAAGCCCCAUGUCUUCUGUACCUCCUUUGGGACCUAGGAGAGGUCAGAAAGAGAGAGAGGUGAGAACCCCAGGAUGGUGAAGGUGAAGGGGCUCAGGCCGUUAGAAGCCAGGAGGUGUGCGUGUGUGUGCGUGUGUGUGUGUUAGGGGAAGUUAAGAGCACUGGGACACUGGUGAUGGGGUGGGGCAUGGGCUUGAAUAGCUCAGAGUCCUAGUGUUAAUACUGAUAGUCCCUAAGUUUGGAAGAGCAAGGUACAGUUUAUACAAAGGAAAAAGGAGAGCAUUUUCCUGAACGCAAGCAUUUUCCACGGAACACUCCUACCCUGCAGGAAGUUCAUAGGUGAUUACUGAAAUUGAGCACUGAACAUACUUCUGAAAAGGUGGCUUAGACGAAGAUAAAUGGGUUGUUCUCCUAUAGGGAUGACCAGAGCCUUUAACACGCUGAUGCUCUAUAGAUCUCUGGGUGGAAAGCAGAGAAUAUAGCUUUUCCCGAAGGACCACAUCUAACCUUGGAAAUAUCUGGAGGAAUGUCUGAUGUCUGUUAACCUGGUGGGUUCACAGACUAGAAGGAGGGCAAGACUUGUGUCUACGUUUGUUCACUACUGCCCCAGUGGAGACUGGACUGGGGCCUGGUACAUAGCGGGAGCUCCAUAACUUUUUGAACAAAUGGUCAUUUAUAGGAUUUUGCAAAGUAUGAUUUUGGAAACAUUGUGAGGGAUUUAUCUUGGCUGCUGGAGUCAGUGCUCGGUGUGGGGUAUCUGUGGGGAGACUCGAGGAUGGUGCAGAAAAGGCUCAGAGGGUCUGGGAAUUAGGACACAGGCUCUGGGGUGUCAGAACACAGCCUUGGGGGUGCAAACUUGGGCAAGUAGCCUCAUCCCUGACGUUCCAUCUCCUUCCUCUUUCCUAUUCGUAAGGGCUUUGGAAGGGUGUUGCAGGGGUGAGGCCAGGAGAAGGAGCAAGACUGGCUGGGAGAACCGCCGGAGUGCCCACCUCGUAGAUGACAAAGCCAAUGGUCUGCAGCUGGGCUCCCCGGGGCCGCGCCUGUCGCCAGUUCUUCUGCAUAAGGGCCACCAGGCAGGUGCACACGGCUUGGUUGUCCUCUGGGUUGUCCUCAUCAUCCUCCUCAGGGAGAGAGAUCCUAAACUGGGGGUUGCUCCAGAAUGUGUCUGUGAAUGAAGCAGGUCAGCAUGGCUCUGCCCUUCCCUGGGGUGGACGGGCUGCCCAAUCCCGGGCCUGCCUCCUCGACAGGGCUGGGUGGGAUCCGUGGGGCCCCUGUGUCCCCUCACACACCUGGGUGGUUCCUACAGCCUCCCGCGUUGCUGCCGCGCCGCCAGCUGCCCUCAUAGAAGGUGGUGUGCCAACAGGUCUUGUAGUCCCCGGAGAGGGCAUCGGGCGUCAGGUGACAGAUCUCCAGCAGCGUGAAGUUGUCCAGGAAGUCUUUGUAGGACAUCCUGUGGGGUGGGGGGACAGAGGGCAACGGCUGGAGCCUGCGGCAUCCCCAUACCCAUAGCGCUUCCCCCCUGCCCCCCGCCUAAGGAGCCUCUCCAUCAAAGGCACAGGUGGGAGGGUGGCAGAGGAAAGGAAGGAAGCCCACCCCAAGCUGUACUGACCAGAACUCCCCGUCCUCCUUCCGGAGCAGGAGCUGGUUCUGGAGGUCCGGAGACACACUUUCCCACUCCCUGGCGCUGGAGCAGAGACAGGCAAUGGAGGGACAGGGGCAGGGCUAAGGAGGCAUUUGAUCCUCCCCAAGGGAUUCCCCCACCCCUGAAUGCCUGCCUUGUGGGGCUCCUGAGUUGAAUGGAGAAUCUCCUGGGGAGGGCUUGGCCAGUUUGUCAGUGGCACUGUCUCGCUCUGCCCCUCACCCCUGACAGUGCUGGUCAGGGACACUUACUUGUCACUCCAGGCUCCAUUCCACUCGAUCCGGCCCCAGGGAUUCCGGACCCGAAUCAGGGUUUCUGCCCGACCUUGGUACCAGACCUGGUGGGAGGAUGUGGCCCAAGGUCAAGGACCUCAGGCAGGAGAGAUUCUCUGCCUUCUCCUGGGUCUCCGGGGAGGGUGUGGUUGGCAGACUCACAUCCUGGAUGCCGGUCACGGAAUAAGCAUGCCCUCUCACCAGCAUCUUCUGGGUCAAGGUCUCCAACUCACUAUUGCUGGUAACCUGCGGAACAGAGAAGGAGAGGAAGUCAGGAUCCAGUCAGAGGCACUGGGGCCCGCAAAGAGAUCAUAUUUCCCUUGGGAUUCAUCCACGUAGUUGCGUGUAUCAAUAUUUCAUUUCCUUUUAUUGCUGAGUCAUGGCCUAUGGCAUAUGUGCACCACAGUUUAAUGAUUCAUUCAUCGAAGGACAUCUAGACUGUUCCCAGUUUCUGACCACGAUGAAUAAAGUCACUGUGAGCAUUUGUGUGCGGGAUUUUGUGUGGACAUAAGUCUUCACUUCUCUGGGAUAAAAGCCCAAAAAUGCCAACUGUGGAGUCAUAUGGCUGCAGUCUGGGCUCAUUUAUUUAUUUGAAUAAAUAUUUGCUGGGUGUGUAUAGUAUGCCAAGCAGCACCCUGAGUCCCGGCAUACAGCAGUGAAUGAGACAAGUCACUGCCCUCACUGACUGAAACAGCCAGGAGAAGAUAGACUGUGAAUAAUGACAUUGAUAAGUAAGACCAUGACAGAGCACCAUAAAUGUUAAGAUGAAAAUAAAAACAAAGUAGAGAGCAUAUGAGGUUAGGAGCAACUGAUUUAAAUUUGGAGGUGGAGAAGAGAAGCCAAAGUAGGGGCAUUUGAACUGAAAUGUAAAUGAGAAGGAGCUAGUCAUGCAGCUCUCUGGGGGAAAGACCCUUCUAGGUGAAAGCCACAGCAGGUGCAAAGGCCCUGAGGCAGGACCAGGAAUGGCUUACUUCGAUGGAGCAGCCCAUGAGGGAGGAUCGCUCGAUGGCCUUCCUAAGCAUCCUCAGCAGGUUCCGAGGGGGCUUCUGGAGUUGGAGGCUAUAGGUCACACCCCCCGUGAAGUCCUCAAAGCCCUCCACGGUGUUGCCCCCUGACAGCGCUUCAUAAGACCCGUUCAGCCUGUGGGCAAAGAGAGGGCACUUUUGUGCUCCAGGAUAGAGAGGUCAGCUUGGGCAUGGGAGGGUGAGGGGAGGGAAGGAAGGGAUGCCCUGACCUCCGUUUGCUUUUUCCCCUGAUUCCAGUUGCCCCCCUAGCUGCCAGCUCUCAGGGAAGGCUUGGAGGCAUGCCCAGCUUGGGACACUCACUUGGCAUAUGCCUUCUCCAGCAGGGCGCUCCAGAACUCAGUGCGCUCGGCGGAAUGCACGAACACCAACUUGCCAUUCUUUGUGGGCAGCCGGUCGUCCACCACCACAUCCACCCACUGCCCAAACUGCCAAAUCUGUGGGCAGCAAGGUGGACCUCAGUGGGGCUUAGGGUAUCUGUCUGCCCAGGCCUUCCUCCAAGCACAGGCGUGCACCCCCUCCCACACACCUCCACACCCCCACUCCUACUCCCCCCACGCACGCCCCCACCCCACAUCCCCCACUUUUCCCCUGGGCGCGUGUGCGCGCGCGCACACACACACACACACACACACACGCACAAGCCUUGUAUAAAAACUGUGUUACUCGAGCACCUCCUGGUGGCCAGGAUCAGGGACACGCCUGAGGCGGACAGGCCCCUCCCCUGAAUGGCUGAGGGGUGUGGGAAAGGCAAUGAAAAGCUUGAAGCUUGCCUCCAGCCUCAGCUCCAGUUUCUGCCGGGCCUCCAGAGAGACACCAGCCGCAUUUUGACCUUGGGCUUCAGGAUUUCUGAGGUUUUAAAAAAACUCUUGUGAUUCUCAGAAACAUUUUUGUGAUGUGAGGAAUUUGUCCACAUGUCACUAAACUGAAGGAGCAGAUUACAAAAAUAAUGUGACCCUGACUGACUGUUGACUCCCAGUGUCAUAUACACAAAACACAUAAACACACACACGCACAUGCACACACACUUCUACCAAGAGGAAGAGACAGAGAGACAGAGAGGGAGAGAAAGAGAGAGAGAGAGAGAAGCAGAAGGAGAGCCACAAACUGAUAACAAUUAUUUUCUCUCUGGGCUUUAAAAAAUCAGCCUACCUGAUUUCUUUAGUGAGCAGACAUUUCUCUGAUAAUUAGAUAAAAGCCCACCCUAAUAAAUGUUAUUUUUCAAAAAGAAAAGAAAGGUAAAUUCCAAGCACAUGUCAUUCUUCUUCUUCCUCCCUCCCCUUUUUUUUAUCUGUCUGUCUCUCUCAUACACACAGCAUAAAACAACUCUGGCUUUCAAAUCAUCCUUCACCUGAAAAUGGAAAAUGCCAGCAUAGUUUUUCCUGAAGCUCUGCCCCCUGGGUACCACACGAUACAGCAGUUUGGGGCAUGUGGUAAGGGAGCCAAUGGCAGCCAGCAGCCAGCAGUCCCCUGGAAAGACAGGAAGGGGGUUGCCUCUCAAGCCCUCCCAUAGAUUCCACAGAACUCAGGCUCUAGUCUUAUCCCUGGAGAAACAAGCAGGAUUUGGAGGAACCCUUCCUGAGGGAGGAAGCUAUCCCUUGGGGCUGUCAUAGGAACCCGUGGGAGAGUGGGCUGAGGAAGCCAGUGCUCCUUUAUUUGAUACAUCAGACUGAGGAACUCCUGGCACCUGCAGUGGCUUAGAGGUAUGUCCACAAGCUCUUUGUCAAUCCUCCCCUCAGGAAGUGGAGCCUAAUUCCUUCCCCUCAGGUGAGGAGUGAGGGUCAGAUU